rnacentral:rRNA from 1 species
CAGUAGCCACGGUAAUGCGUAGGGUGCAAGCGUUGUCCGGAAUUAUUGGGCGUAAAGAGCUCGUAGGCGGUUUGUCGCGUCUGCUGUGAAAUCCCGAGGCUCAACCUCGGGCUUGCAGUGGGUACGGGCAGACUAGAGUGCGGUAGGGGAGAUUGGAAUUCCUGGUGUAGCGGUGGAAUGCGCAGAUAUCAGGAGGAACACCGAUGGCGAAGGCAGAUCUCUGGGCCGUAACUGACGCUGAGGAGCGAAAGCAUGGGGAGCGAACAGGAUUAGAUACCCCCGUAGUCCCUGUCUCUUAUAC